rnacentral:rRNA from 1 species
GACGAACGCUGGCGGCGUGCCUAAUACAUGCAAGUCGAACGGUUCAGGUUGGUGGAGCUUUUUUAAGUGAAGCCGAGCUGGAUAGUGGCGAACGGGUGAGUAACGCGUGAGCAACCUGCCCUAAAGACUGGGAUAACACCGUGAAAGCGGUGCUAAUACCGGAUGUGGCUACUGAUUCGCAUGGAUUGGUAGUUAAAGGAUAAGUCCGCUUUAGGAUGGGCUCGCGUUCCAUUAGCUAGUUGGCAGGGUAACGGCCUACCAAGGCGACGAUGGAUAGCCGGCCUGAGAGGGUGACCGGCCACAUUGGGACUGAGACACGGCCCAGACUCCUACGGGAGGCAGCAGUAGGGAAUUUUGCGCAAUGGGGGAAACCCUGACGCAGCGACGCCGCGUGAGCGAAGAAGGCCUUCGGGUCGUAAAGCUCUGUCUAGAGGGACGAAGGAAUGACGGUACCUCUGGAGGAAGCCCCGGCUAACUACGUG